rnacentral:miRNA from 14 species
CCCUGUUGUACUCGUACUUAACA